UCGAUCGCACCAUUGAUAGCGCAUGCGGCACGUCGAUCGUCGUGGUGGCAAGACUAACAUUGUUUUCCCAUGGAGCUACUGUAUCAAUUGUUUGGCUGUGGUUUACACACUGACUCAUAGUUUUGGGCACAAUAAGCAUUUACAGGAUAACUAGUUUAGUACUAGAAACCUUCGAAAGAAUGUCAAUUGCAUCCUGAAUUCAUAACGUGCAUCCUCGAGCUCGACCCUCCAUAAUCGAUGCAGCUACUAACGCCGCCACAUGGCAUGGCCAACGCAAAUCAAAUGCAGGUGCGUAAGAAGAUAUGAUCGCGUCGUUUUAGAGGGUCUGACGAUGUCAUCAGAUAAGACUUUGACUGAUGUUAUUUGACCCCUGAAAAUUGGGAAUCAGCCAAAGCAGUCCUGUAUGGCGGUCGUGUGGAAAGGAUGCAACCGUGUGGGAUGGCCGUCACUACAAGCAGUCACUUCUUGAGACACCAAAUCCUGUCACACAAGGCCAAUGGAUGGUUGGUGCAUUUUCACUGGGUUUGAAUGUGGUAGGAUUCUUAGGAAUUUAGUGCCAGAGAUGAAGCAGAAGCCGCAACGAAGCCAGGGUUUCAUAAACACCACAGAAAGUUGGGUGUGAAGGGCAUCACCUCAAACUCCUUUGACAACAAGAUGAGACAACUCAAAGAACAUGGUCAGGUUCUUGGCAGGAUUCAUCCUGGGUUCUAUGACAUCAGGAAGAGAUUGAAGGAAGAUCUUGAGAGAAUGUUGGCUGAGAGACGAUGAGGAGUCAAGAAGAUGACGGCCGGUAAACGUCUCAAGUCAACUCGCCCAUAUUCCAUGGAGCCUCGCUUUGCUCACCAACCACCACGCCCAGUCCGGUCACCGUGGCAACUGAACAGCCUCAGGCCCCGCCUCCUGCAGCCAUUAGUCAGAUCGUCGCUUACCAAUUCCAAUCAGCAAUGAGCAUAGUCGAGGGCAACGCAAGACACCUGUCAGCUUUGUUGUUGUACCUGUCAGUGAUCUGGGUUACCCUGUUGGUUCACCAGGGAGUAGCAUCUGGGCUUAUACACCAGGGAGCAGCGGUGACUGGAUCCCAAGUAGCAACUUAGAGGACAUACCAGGCACAGCAGCUAACAGGAUGCCCAACUUCCCCCAUCAAGACACUGUCAAGAGAGGAUGGCUACCUAAUGAACAAAGACACCAAAUCCUGUCACACAAGGCCAAUGGAUGAUUGGUGCAUCUUCACUGAGUUUGAAUGUGGUAGGAUUCUUAGGAAUCUAGAGCCAGAGAUGAAGCGGAGGCCACAACAAAGCCGGGGUUUCAUAAACACCAUAGAAAGU
rnacentral:lncRNA from 1 species